GACGAACGCUGGCGGCGUGCUUAACACAUGCAAGUCGAACGGAAAGGCCCUUCGGGGUACUCGAGUGGCGAACGGGUGAGUAACACGUGGGUGAUCUGCCCUGCACUUUGGGAUAAGCCUGGGAAACUGGGUCUAAUACCGAAUAGGACCACGCGCUUCAUGGUGUGUGGUGGAAAGCUUUUGCGGUGUGGGAUGGGCCCGCGGCCUAUCAGCUUGUUGGUGGGGUAAUGGCCUACCAAGGCGACGACGGGUAGCCGGCCUGAGAGGGUGACCGGCCACACUGGGACUGAGAUACGGCCCAGACUCCUACGGGAGGCAGCAGUGGGGAAUAUUGCACAAUGGGCGCAAGCCUGAUGCAGCGACGCCGCGUGAGGGAUGACGGCCUUCGGGUUGUAAACCUCUUUCAAUAGGGACGAAGCGCAAGUGACGGUACCUAUAGAAGAAGCACCGGCCAACUACGUGCCAGCAGCCGCGGUAAUACGUAGGGUGCGAGCGUUGUCCGGAAUUACUGGGCGUAAAGAGCUCGUAGGUGGUUUGUCGCGUUGUUCGUGAAAACUCACAGCUUAACUGUGGGCGUGCGGGCGAUACGGGCAGACUAGAGUACUGCAGGGGAGACUGGAAUUCCUGGUGUAGCGGUGGAAUGCGCAGAUAUCAGGAGGAACACCGGUGGCGAAGGCGGGUCUCUGGGCAGUAACUGACGCUGAGGAGCGAAAGCGCGGGGAGCGAACAGGAUUAGAUACCCUGGUAGUCCACGCCGUAAACGGUGGGUACUAGGUGUGGGUUCCUUCCUUGGGAUCCGUGCCGUAGCUAACGCAUUAAGUACCCCGCCUGGGGAGUACGGCCGCAAGGCUAAAACUCAAAGGAAUUGACGGGGGCCCGCACAAGCGGCGGAGCAUGUGGAUUAAUUCGAUGCAACGCGAAGAACCUUACCUGGGUUUGACAUGCACAGGACGCCGGCAGAGAUGUCGGUUCCCUUGUGGCCUGUGUGCAGGUGGUGCAUGGCUGUCGUCAGCUCGUGUCGUGAGAUGUUGGGUUAAGUCCCGCAACGAGCGCAACCCUUGUCCUAUGUUGCCAGCGGGUUAUGCCGGGGACUCGUAGGAGACUGCCGGGGUCAACUCGGAGGAAGGUGGGGAUGACGUCAAGUCAUCAUGCCCCUUAUGUCCAGGGCUUCACACAUGCUACAAUGGCCGGUACAAAGGGCUGCGAUGCCGUGAGGUGGAGCGAAUCCUUUCAAAGCCGGUCUCAGUUCGGAUCGGGGUCUGCAACUCGACCCCGUGAAGUCGGAGUCGCUAGUAAUCGCAGAUCAGCAACGCUGCGGUGAAUACGUUCCCGGGCCU
rnacentral:rRNA from 1 species